rnacentral:rRNA from 1 species
GUGAGGAAUAUUGGGCAAUGGGCGAAAGCCUGACCCAGCCACGCCGCGUGAGUGAUGAAGGCCUUCGGGUUGUAAAGCUCUGUGGGGAGGGAAGAAAAAGCGGGAGAGUAACUGCUCUCGUGUUGACGGUACCUCCUUAGCAAGCACCGGCUAACUCUGUGCCAGCAGCCGCGGUAAUACAGAGGGUGCAAACGUUGCUCGGAAUUACUGGGCGUAAAGCGCGUGUAGGCUGACAUGCAAGUCGGGUGUGAAAUCCCAGGGCUCAACCUUGGAACUGCACUCGAAACUGCACGGCUUGAGUACUGGAGAGGGAAGCGGAAUUCCGGGUGUAGAGGUGAAAUUCGUAGAUAUCCGAAGGAACACCAGUGGCGAAGGCGGCUUCCUGGACAGUAACUGACGCUGAGACGCGAAAGCGUGGGGAGCAAACAGGAUUAGAUACCCUUGUAGUCC